CGAAAGCCUGACGGAGCAACGCCGCGUGUGGGAAGAAGGCCCUUGGGUUGUAAACCCCUUUUCUCAGGGAAGAAACCUGACGGUACCUGAGGAAAAAGCCUCGGCUAACUCCGUGCCAGCAGCCGCGGUAAUACGGAGGAGGCAAGCGUUAUCCGGAAUUACUGGGCGUAAAGCGUUCGUAGGGGGCUCGUCAAGUCUGCUGUCAAAGCUCGGAGCUCAACUCCGAAGGGGCAGUGGAAACUGGGGAGCUAGAGGGCGGCAGGGGCAGAAGGAAUUCCCGGUGUAGCGGUGAAAUGCGUAGAGAUCGGGAAGAACACCAGAGGCGAAAGCGUUCUGCUGGGCCGCGCCUGACCCUGAGGGACGAAAGCUAGGGGAGCG
rnacentral:rRNA from 1 species